GACGAACGCUGGCGGCGUGCCUAAUACAUGCAAGUAGAACGCUGAAGAGAGGAGCUUGCUCUUCUUGGAUGAGUUGCGAACGGGUGAGUAACGCGUAGGUAACCUGCCUUGUAGCGGGGGAUAACUAUUGGAAACGAUAGCUAAUACCGCAUAACAAUGGAUGACACAUGUCAUUUAUUUGAAAUGGGCAAUUUCUCCACUACAAGAUGGACCUGCGUUGUAUUAGCUAGUAGGUGAGGUAAUGGCUCACCUAGGCGACGAUACAUAGCCGACCUGAGAGGGUGAUCAGCCACACUGGGACUGAGACACGGCCCAGACUCCUACGGGAGGCAGCAGUAGGGAAUCUUCGGCAAUGGGGGCAACCCUGACCGAGCAACGCCGCGUGAGGGAAGAAGGUUUUCGGGUCGUAAAGCUCUGUUGUAGGUCAAGAACGGGUGUGAGAGUGGAAAGUUCACACUGUGACGGUAGCUUACCAGAAAGGGACGGCUAACUACGUG
rnacentral:rRNA from 1 species